GAUAAGAUAAGUUUAUUUGGUCAUUGACCAGCCAACAUUUACAAUAUACCAGUACGUAUUUUACAAAUAAUAUAACAGAACCUGGCCAUAACAGAGAUAAUAUCAGUGUCCACAUUAGUUAAAAGAUAAUUUAAAUAAAAUUCAUCAGACCGGCCAGGCAAAUUAUCUAACAUAGGAGAUAUACGUCUUAAAUGGGGUUCACUAUAAAAAUCACAAUAAAGAAUAACAUGCGAGGUGGAUUCUAUAACCCCUUUGCCACAUGGGCAAAGUCGUAAAAAUAGCAGAACUCCCUUAAACCUGCCUUCCUAUACUGCUGUAGGAAGAACAUUUAAACGUGCUAAAGUGAGGGCUUGUCUAAAUUUAGGGACAAGCACCACAUCAAAGUACUUAGCUGGUUUAAGAUUAAUAGCUUGACUCCUGAAGUAUAAAUCCUGCUUGAUCCAUGCACCUUCUUGUUGAACUUCUAUAUCCAAAACAUGUUUCUUAACUAGCUUCCUGGCUUGCUCAAAUCCUACAGUAUGCAAAUCGUCUACGGAGAGGCCAAAACCCGAAAAUUUUCUCAACACAGCUCGUUUCCAGCUUGAAUUAAAACCAUCAUUCAUAGCCAAAGAGGCUAAGCCGGCCUGUCCAAAACUCAGUUUUAACCUAAACUGAAAAAUACAGCACCAGUAUAAAGAUUCCAGCCUAAUAAGCCCAACUUCUCUUCUGAUGAAAGCAUUAGGAGCACAACACAGUACCUGCAAAAUGCAUCUAAUAAACUUAGUCUGGAUAGCCUCAAGUAGGGCAAAAUUACUUGCAGGUCCCAGUUGGGCUCCAUAGGUACUGCAAAGGCAGUACUUUGGCUGUAUAAAGUCUCACUGUAGCAGGUAUAAAAGCAGCACCAUGUAUAAAAUGGUAAGAUUUAAUCUUAUUUAUGACCAAUUGAGCAUACUGCCUGAUGGAGUUAAAAUGGGCAUUUCUAGAGCCAACAGAGUGAAACGUAAUUCCUAGAUAUUUAAAGGAAUUAGCCUGCUCAAUCUUGUGUCCUUGUAUGGACCAAUUAUAACGUCUAGCUCGCUUAGCAAACACUAAGACUUUAGUUUUACUAUAGUUUAUUUCAAUAGACUCUUGGUUACAAAACGAUGAAAACAGUCUAAGGCAUGCUUAAGGCCUACAGGUGUCUGCGACAUAAUAGCCAUGUCAUCCGCAUAUAAUAAUAUGAAGACAUGCCUAUCGGCUAGCUUAGGUGGAUGAAUAGAAAGGGUGGACAAACAAGAGAUCACCGAAUUAACAUAGAUGUUAAACAGAACAGGAGCAAGUAUACAGCCCUGAUGUACUUCUCUAAAAGAUGGAAUUUCUGAUGUUAACUGUCCAGUUGGGCCAUAACGAACUUUCAAAUAAGUAUGCUUAUGCAAACUAACAAUAAGUUUGUGUAAUCUUUUGUCUAUGCUAAGAGCUUCCAGUUUAGACCACAGUCUCUCUCUAGAAACUGAAACAAAUGCAGCUUUAAGAUCAAUGAAUGCUACAUAAAGUGCUGAACCUGGGAACCUAGAGUACUUCUCUGCCAGAAAUUGAAGGGUAAAAGCACGUUCUGUGGUGGAACGACCCUCCCGAAAGCCUGCCUGCUCGAUAGCUAAAAUGUUAUUUGCCUCAGACCAGUCUAGAAGUUUUAUCAAAAGAUGCCUCACAUAAAUUUUACUAAUAACAUUGUAAGCUAAUAGGACAAUAGUUGGCUGUGUCCUAACGCCUACCUUUUUUAUAAAGAGGAAUUAUUACAGCAAGGCCCCAAUCGCUGGGUAUGUUAGCAGUAGUAUCUGUAUAGGUAAAUCCAAGAAGCAAGGAGAUGAGAAGCCAAUCGGAAGCCAGUGCAAGAAUAUGAAUCAGCAAGGGAAAAACAGACCUCUAAAAUAGUGCUAAGAACAUCACAUUUUGCCCAAAACAGGGUUCUUCUGCUCCGAGCUUGAAAUGGGCCCUUUGUUUAAAGCUUCUCUCAAAGCAGCCUGUUUCAAGUCGAACAUUUUGCUGCUGAACCAUCUGCACAUCCCUAAUCGAGCAGACUCACUUCAGCACAGUCCACAGGGUGAGGGUGCUGCCUUGCCAGUUUCCCACCAAUUCUGGUCCUGGAAGACAUGCUACCUUGGCCUAUCUAUCCUCCAGUCAUUUGAUUAGUACUUAAGACUUUGGCUGCCUUCAUUUUAGCUGCUCAAAUGACUGGAGGAUAGGAGCAAGGUAGCAUGUCACUUUGCACAAUUGUCAGAUAUUCACACACUGAAAUCAAAUGCUGAAAACACUCCAACAAAGUUUAUUGCAAACAUCCACAAUUUUGACAGAAGUAAUAGGGUUGCAGUUUCAGUACUGAUUUUAUUGUGUAUAUAUGUUUGAAUGAGGUAAACUAGCUCAUUAUUAUUUUAUUUUAAAAAAUAUAUUUUAGCCACAGAGUGAUAGUUGAGCAAAGAUGUAUGUAACUCAUUGAGGCGAUUCUCACAAUUGCCAAAAAGUGGGCUAAGGUACCCUAGCCCGCUUUCUGGUGAGAGUGAGAACCACCAGGUUCGCAGGCAAGCCUGGUGUCCUCAAAGUGGGUAACUCGCUUACGGAGCCCUCCCCUUAGACAAGGGCUUAAAUACCACUCCCCUUAAAUACCCGCCUAAAUACCCCUCCUCUCAGCCCAGGUUAGCAGAGUGAAUGCUCCGCUAACCCGGGUUUUCUGAUCGUGUAUUGUCGCAGUACAGCUCUGCGGUGUGGCAACACAUGAGGAGACACCCGUCGGGAGGCUACAAGCAGCCUUCCGGGCUUGGGGGUCUCUACAACAUGCCCUGCGCGCUCAUGUGGGGCACCCUGGAACUUCUGGGGGCUGCACAGCCCCUGAUCCCCACAGCCCCGGCCUGCUCUGUGACGGAGCUGGCUGUCAUGUGGGCGGCCAAUUUGGCUACCCAGGGCUGUAUCCCUAACCCUGUGUGAUUAGUUUCUGUACCAUCUAGCAGAUGAUACAGUAAAAGGCCCUUGACUUGACUUGACUUGACUUGAAAUGAAAAGUAACUGGAUCAUUGUACUGUACAAAGAGGUUUUACAAAGAGAACAGAAUAGCAGAAAUCUAAUCCAAGUCAUUCAGGCAAAGUUUGGAGCAUGUCUUAUUAUUACUAAACUAAUUAUGUGAACAUAGUAUGGUUUAAUAAUUAGAAUGGUUUAAUAAUUAUAACUAGCUGGGCCGGGCGCAGAGCAUUUGCACUUCUAGUUUGCCGCAGCCAUUCUCUCUCCCCCUCCCCACCCCCCGCCUCUCCGGUGCUUAUUUUCCUGGCUGGCCGGCCCGCUACCUCACACCACCUCCUGCCAGCAGCCGCGUCCUCCAACCCACCUUCUCUUGCCUUCCGGCCAGCUGGCCCACCACUUCCUCCCGCCAGCUGGCCUGCCUUUCUCCAGCCCGCCGCAGUUUAUUAAAAUAAAUUGAUAGCCUACACAUGACCAAUUUUAUUUUACCCACACAGCCUUUAGGAAAGGCUGUAUUAUUAUUAUUUCUUGUUUACACAGUCAGACAGGUGUUAUUGACUGGUUUGUUUUAUCCAGACAUCGAGUCCUUCCCAAGGACCUAGAAUGGCUGAAUUUUAUUGUCAAUGUUGUUGUUGUAGAUAUCGUUGCAGAAUAUAGGCUGUUCCCAGUAAAGCUGCUUUUUGUAAUUGGCUGAUGGUAAUUUCUGUGACCCCUAUGGUGUUGAGGUGCUCUUCAAGGUCUUUUGGAACUGCACCCAGGGCGCCAAUGACCACUGGGAUUAUUUUGGUCUUUUUCUGCCACAGCCUUUCAAUUUCAAUUUGUAGAUCUUUGUAUUUGGUGAUUUUUUCUAUUUCUUUUUCUUCUAUUCUGCUAUCCCUUGGUAUUGCUAUGUCGAUUAUUUUAAAUAAUCGAUUAUAGUCAAUUAUUUUAACCCAUAAUAUUUCUACAUCUUCAUUUUCUUCAACUUUUUCAGUUUUAUGGUCCCACCAAUUUUUGGCUACAGGUAGCUUGUACUUUUUGCAGAUGUUCCAGUGUAUCAUCCCUGCUACCUUGUCAUGCCUUUGUUUGUAGUCAGUCUGUGCGAUCUUUUGACAACAGCUGAUUAGGUGGUCCACUGUUUCAUCUGCUUCUUUACAAAGGCUGUUUGUGGUGGAUUUUUCUACUUUUGCUCUUAUUGCAUUUGUUCUUAGUGCCUGUUCUUUUGCAGCCAGUAUUAAACCCUCUGUUUCUUUCUUCAAGUUGCCAUUCUUAAGCCAUUGCCAGGUCUUGGUGAUGUCUAAUUUUCCACUUAUGUUGUGCAAAUAUUGACCAUGCAGGGGCUUAUUUCUCCAUUUUAUAUAUUAUUAUUACAUUUAUAUCCCGCUCUUCCUCCAAGGAGCCCAGAGCGGUGUACUACAUACUUGAAUUUCUCUUUCACAACAACCCUGUGAAGUAGGUUAGGCUGAGAGAGAAGUAACUGGCCCAGAGUUACCCAGCUAGUCUCAUGGCUGAAUGGGGAUUUGAACCUGGGUCUCCACGGUCCUAGUCCAGCACUCUAACCACUACACCACGCUGGCUCUACUACUAUUACUACACAUAUUUAUAUAAUGAUUUUCAACAAAACUGUUCAAAGCAGCUUAUAUAGAAAAAUUAAAACAUAAAUAAGAUGGUUCCAUGUCCCAAAAGGGCUCACAUUCUAAAAAAGGGAUAAGAGAGAGACAUAUUGCACGAGCUGAAUCUUCCAACAUAAUUGAAGGUCAAUGAAUGCAUACUACUAAAGAUCUCUUAACAGUCAGAAUUUUUUUAAUUUUGUUUACAAGAAAAUGAGACUCUGCAUUCUCAUAUGAUUGAGAAUCACCUAUGUUCCCCUCUUCCAUUUAUGCCUAAUAUACAUUGUCUCUAUAAGUGUUGCUGGUUUGGGCCAUUAUUUGUUUGUUUAUUACAUUUAUAUCCUGCUCUUCCUCUUGAGCAGUGUACAUGGUUAUUUUGAUCCUCACAACAACCCUGUGAGGUAGGUUAGGCUGAGAGAUACAUGACUGGCCCGGUGAGUUUCAUGGUUGAAUGGGGAUUUGAACUUGGGUCUUCCUGGUCUUCCUGGUUCUAGUCCAACACUAACCACUAUGCUAUGCUGGCUGAUUUCGUGCCUACACCGGUAUAAAGCUUUCAAUAUUAGGAUAUAUUUGUACAAGUUGAUCAGGACUCUAAAACUUAAACAGCAUUUUGGAGACAGCAAUAGGGGAGAGAUUAUAGAUCCUUUCAAAAGGAAAUCCUCAUUUGUGCCUAAUAUAGAUAAUCCAAAUAUCACAGUCUUUUCAGAGCAGGUGGAGAAGGAUUUGCAACUUAUUGUAAAAGAGUAUAGAGAUAAAUCUAGGUUUUACUCUAAUUUUUUGAGGAAACGAUGGGAAAUCUUACAGAGACUGAGUAAAGACCCCACAAUUACCAUUAAAAAGGCAGAUAAAGGUGGAGGAAUAGUAAUCAUUAACACUAGUGAUUAUAAUGCGGAAGUUGUAAGACAAUUACAGGACAUAGUGAAUUAUAAACCACUUGCAUGUGAUCCCACUGUGAAGGUUUAUGGCCUGAUUAAAAUGGUUUUGAAUGAGGCAAAUAUUAUGGGCUAUAUUUCAGAUUCCACUAUGGAAUUCUUGUUGAAUAAAACAUCGAGGGUCCCCAUCUUUUAUGUGCUACCCAAGAUACAUAAGCCACAAAGACCACCAGUGGGUAGACCUAUUAUAAGUGCUUGUAAUUCCUUAUUGGAACCCCUAUCGGUCUAUAUAGAUCAUUAUAUAAAGCCGUUUGUGAUGAAAUUGCCCUCAUAUCUGAGGGAUACAUAAGAUCUUAUCGCCCAAAUGGAAGGGAUGACUGUAGAAGAGGGUGUCAUUAUAGCCACAUUGGAUUUUAAAUCCCUGUAUACGAACAUUCUACUACAGGAAUUGAGACAGGUUAUUGAGCAACAUUUAGAACAAAGGGAAAGUUGGGACCCACCCACUUUUUUCAUUAUGGAAUUGGUGGAUAUUGUCUUGGAGAAUAAUUUCUUUAGAUAUAAGGACCAAUUCUUUAUUCAGACAUGUGGUGUAUCCAUGGGUUCAGCAUUUGCCCCUAGUGGAGCUAAUUUGUUUAUGGGACAUUUAGAGACAAGAUUCAUUUUGAAUCCUACUGUAAAUCCAUUUUUUGUGAAUAUUGUGUACUAUAAAAGGUACAUAGAUGAUUUACUGAUUCUCUUUAAACCAGGAAACAAAAUGAGUGAAUUUGUAGAUUGGCUUAAUGGAAUACACCCUAGAAUUCAAUAUACAUACCAACAUCGUAAGGAACAGGUACUUUAUCUGCAUACCAUAGUAAAAAUAACACAAAAGAGAAAGGUAGCAUUUGAAGCAUAUGAAAAACCUAGUGAUAAGAAUACAUUGCUACACUUCCAUUCAUUCCAUCCAAGCCAUUUGAAGCGUAAUUUACCAUAUGGCCAGUUUCUAAGGUUAGAGGAAUUCCACAGUAGCAAGACAAUAUGAAAAAGAAGCAGCUUCUUUGGUUAGACAGCUGCAAGAGCGGGGGUAUCCCGAGGAUGUCAUAUGUGAGGCACGCCAGAAAGCUAAAUAUAGAAGAAGACAGGAUUUAUUGAAUAAUAAGAUAAGAGAAAAGAAAAACAGAGUAAUAUGGACCACAGAGUUCACUCCUCUCUCUUAUCAGAUACAGCGCAUGAUCCUAAAACAUUGGCAUCUAGUUUCGGGGAUAGAAGGUUGCAGUAAUCCCCCCCCCACUUUGCUUAUAGGAGGACUAGGAAUUUAGGUAGCUUUUUGACAAGGGCGGACUCCCUGGAGAAAGGAGAUCAGAACUCGGGAUUAAGAGGCUUUUAUCCAUGUGGGAGAUGUUCAGUUUGUGCGCAAGCGGAACGCAUGAUUAGUGUGAUAGAUCCUAACACAGGGAGUAAAAGGAACUUGGACUUUUUUGCCAUGUGUGAUACCAAGGGAGUAGUAUAUGCGCUUAAAUGUGCAUGCCCCAAACUGUAUAUAGGUAAGAGUAUACGUAAAGUGAGAUCUAGAAUCUUGGAACAUAAAUCUAGAGUGAGGACAUGUCAUAGCGAGUCACCCAUAGUAUCCCAUUUUUUAGAAAAGGGACAUACAUGUGAUGAAUUCAAAUUUUUUGUCCUGUUUAAAUACACACCGCGAAGAUUCAGCUAUGAAGAUAUGAAUACUACAUUAUUAAGGAAAGAGGCAUUCUUCAUACACCUGCUUAAGACUUAUGUUGGAGGUCUUAAUACCAAUCAAGAUCUUUCAUGUUUUUUGGGAGAACAUUAGGAAAGAGGAAUGCACACAGUUACUUUGGAAUAGCUAUGGAUGCUGUUAUCAUGAGUUUUACAGAAUCAGGAGAGAAAGAAGAAGCUACCUGAUUAAUUUGGUAAAAGGACGCAGCUGUGGGUCAUUAAAACUUAGCGUGCUUAAUUGGGGAUCAGUUUAAAAAGGAGGGGUGAGCGCAGAGAUUCUAAGCAUGUCUCCACAGGCGUAUUAGUCUAAACACUGUGGUAAGAUAAGGCCGGUAACAGAAUGUAAGCAUACAUUGCUUAUACUUAAAAUGGUUUAUCUGAAGAAGUAACAAUUAGUUAUGAAACAGAUUACUAUCCGGAAAAUCUGUAAUAUUGCAUAUCGUUUGCUGUACUGCACAUGGAUUUGGCUUUGAAAGCAUAAGAUUAAAUUACGCAGAUUGUCUCCACUUGGAAUAUAUGGAGAAGGAGACGUAUCAUCAUAUUCCUGAAUUAAGAAGAGAAACAUCCUCCCCACUGGAUUCCACGGGAUUUGCACUUCUACUGUGAACUAAUACAUCUACAGGAUAAGAACUGUUUAUCCCUAUAUGGGCAGUUGUAACAUACAUCUGGGGGAAUACUUCUUGUUAUAUAUGUUUAUGCACUUUGUCAUAUACAGUGUGUAAGCCACUUUGGCUCUGAUAUGUUUAUCAGAUAAAUUUAUUGUGGAAGUUAAGUUGGCGGUCUGAGUACUCCUCUUCAGAUUGUUUAGUCACUGUGGGUUGUUUGGUUAUUUUUGUUACUAUCGCGUGACUCCUGUUGGUUUAGCAACACGAUGAGCAUGUGAGGACAUUUGUAUCCAGUUGUAGGCAAAUGUAAAGAAGAAGCUGUUUAAAAAUGGCAUGCUAGCUUUACAGUGAAAAGUAGCUCUUGUCUUGAAGUUUGAUGAAUGGUUGCUGGGAAUAAUACUUGGGGGAAAUAAAAAGUACAAGACGUGCUUAUGCCAGGCAAAAGUACAAAGGUUUGUAGUCUGCUAAGUUCUUUUCCCAAAGCACAGAAUUAGUGAUGUUGCCAAGUUACACCUGAAGCCGAUAGCUUUGACUCCCACUUCAAAUAUCAACAGCAGAGGGCUCUGGAAAAUGAAACAAAGUUUUAGAAUGUCUGUUUUAAAGAAAAAUAAAAUAAAGUUAUUCUAGGCAACAUAUGUCCAAGUUUGCUCUGCCAGCCCCGCUUUACAGCUUAUUUCUAUGUAUAUUAAUACUACAUCUCUUUCAGGAAAACAGACCAGCAAGAUACAGGUAAACCACUAGUUGCACUUUCUGAUAGUGGUUUUGGGUCAUGCCACAGAUGGAUUUCAACUGCCAUUUUUCCAGCUUGUAAGCUAAGAAAAACAGGGCUGCUGUGAUUUACUUGGAACUAAAGGCCGUACUGUGUAUCUUCCCCUCCUUAGAUGAAAAAUCAUCUUGGGCAUGAUUAAUAUGACUGGAGGAGAAAGUAGUAGCCCCUCCUUUCCCACUUCUCCUCUGCUCAGACUGUCAGCCUGGGAAAGCACAAAAAAACUACUAUUAAUCUACUUUUAUGGCCAUUCUGUCCCAGAGUCUGUGGCCAAUCUUCAUUUACAUGUAUAAUUUUUAGCCCACUUAAGGCAAAACAAUGGUCUGGUUCACACAAUGGUUUGAAUCUAGGUUUAAUGUGGGUUACCAACAUUAGCAUGAUUGAAUGAGCCCAUGCCAAAGAGGGAAUAUAAGAAUAAUCUCAGGCAGGGGCGUAACUACUAUUAGGCAAGGGGAGACGGCUGCCUGGGGGCCCCCACGCCUCGAGGGGCCCCCCAGAGGCAAGUCACAUGACUAUAUAUUGUAAAGUGUGUGUGCUUGUAUCAGCGAGGGGCCCAUUUUAAAAUUUUGUCUCUGGGCCCACUCCAGCAUUGUUACGCCCCUGAUCUCAGGCCAUAAAACACCUUGGUGAGUUCACAAAAUCAUGCUAAUAUCAGUAACCCUCAUUAAACCUAAAUUUGAACAAUUGUAUGAACCAGAUCAGUUUGAACCUUAGUUUGAUGCUUUUUUGUUGUUGUUCCCCUCCUGGAGGAACUAGCAGCCACAGGGGCCUUGAACCAAACUGGGACCACAGUAAGGGGAAUGCACUUCAUUGUGGUCUGUCAGUCACACCAGUGGGUUUUGCAUCUGUGAGGAAGCUCAGUCAGGAACCUUCCAGUAUUCUUAAUCCCUCCUGCUUUAUGGCGGGAGCCCCCCCCCCUUUGUGGUUUGUCUUCCCUUGGUUCUUCAUUGUCCACAUUGAUCAACAGCUCUAUCUGUGAGAUGCUUUUCUUUGCUCACUAAAAAAUAAAAAAUCUUGCUGCUUAA